ACCUCCUCUUGCUGUUGUAACUUCCAUGAUUUUCUGAUGCCAAUGGGAUUUUUUCAUCACUCAGCAGGGAACCAGAAAAUACGGGAAUUAGAGCAAUUCGAUCGGUUAGUCUUCUCUGGUCUGGCUUCUUUUUAAGGCUUUCAGUUUCAUUUAAAUUUGUUAAAAUUUCCAGUUUUAUGCUUUGAUUAAAAUUUGAUUACACAUAAUAGCUGGAUGAAAAAAAAUCUUACAGAACCAGAAAAUACAGGAAUUAGAGCAAUUCGAUUGGUUAGUCUUCUCUGAUCUGCUUUUUUUUUAGGUUUUCGGUUUCAUUUUAAUUUGUUAAAAUUGCCAGUUUUAUGCUCUGAUUAAAAUUUGAGUACACAUAAUAGCUGGAUUAAAAAUAUAUCUUACAUGCUUUGAUAUCUUUUGAUAUUAUCUAAUAUAUAAUAGGCUUUGUCUAGCAUCACCAAUACCUUUUUUUGUAGUAUCAAGGGAUUCAGCCGGUAUGGUUCCUCCAAGUUGUUUUCCCUGAAUUUAGUUCAUUGAUUACGCAAUCGGCAUGGCCUCAACAUUAGGUAAUUAAGACGUACUAAUUGGUUGUGUCAGCUUAAUUACUUUCUCUACUACUGGAUUGCUAUUCCACUGUAUCCUUCUCACAGCUAUUAAUUAUGUCAUGGUUCCUGUAGAAGUUGAUAGAUGAUGCUUUAUUCUUAAGUUUACUGUUUUUUUCACUAGGCGCUAUAUGAAUUUUCCUUUCCAAACAAAGUUCUGUUAUGUUGUAUUAAAUAUGGAUGGUAGAUUCUGAGGAGAGAUUUAUGCCGCAGUCCGUUCAUCAAGUAGCACAAUCUGAUCGUCAAGUGUGAGAGAUGGGAAGAGUAAUAAAAUGCAUUGACUCUUCAUGCUGCUACAGCAGGAAGUGACAGUUCUACACGAAAUAAAGUUUCACCGAUUACACGUAGCAGUUUCUGAUCAAUUAUUUUGUCGCAUUAACAAGUUUGCAGAAACAUAAAGGUACAGCUCUGAAUUUUUGUCCUCACAUCAAAGUUCCUAAGUUAUAAAUAGUUCACUACUUUUUCUUCUGCGCGAAGGUUCUUUGGUAAUCAAAAGCACAAACCAAGUUUGAUUCAUUGAUGGACAUUGAAGAACAUUGAGACUAGAUAUAUUUUGUCUAUGUUACUCUUAGAGGGCAUGUUAAAUGUUGCUUAAAUAUUUUUCUCUCCCAAAGUACAACAUAUAAUACUUUAUAUCUAGGAUUAAGAUUUAUCAACUUGCAAGCGUCUUCUCUUAGAGAGCGGUUAUCAAUAGAGCUCACAUCAAUAUGCA